UUGUUCCAGGGUCACUGUCAGUAAUGGCUGAUCCCUGGCCAUGACCCCACUCUCUGAGGGUCUCUCAGGGGGAGUGGGAUAUCCAAAAAAACAAAUGUCCAAUUCACAUAUACUUGUGUGAAACACCUUUUCCAUAUUAUGAUUUUUUUCAAAUGUUAUCAUAAUUAGGUGGGUGCUUACAUUUGACAAAAUCAUAAUAUGGAAAAGGUGUUCCUACUAAUUAUUUGCCUACUUAAGCAAUGUCACUAAGUUAGUGUAAUUUUGACGAAACUGUCACGUUAGCCUAUGAGGUGCAACCCAUGUCUAGGGCACAAAUAAAUACUGGAUGCAGCUAUGGUAGCUAACUCGUGUCUGACUACUACAGUGUACUCACUAGCAGCAACAAACUUAACCAACCCAGGGCCAUAGCGUAACAUGUCACAGUUGGUUGUAUAGUGUAACGGCGUCACCGGCUUGAAUCCAAUCCAAUCGGGAGCCAGUCAGUCUACAUCUGUAUAGCAUAGAAAUAGCUUCAAAACGGGAUUACGUUAUUUCUUAAACUAUUUUAGGGAUGAUGACAAUCGUUGACUCAAUUAUACAAAAUGUACAGUUUGGUGCCAGACAGAUCCCCUGGUUAUGAACGGAAUGCCGGGACUUACCAGAACGAGCAAAGCUUGUCAGGCAGGAUCUCAGAGUAAAAGUGUGUCAUGCAACACAAAUACCCGUGUGGCACCUCCUCCGUUGAUGCCAGAAUCUCCCUGGACUCCUCAUGAAAAGGACAUCCUGAAGUCUCUCAUAGUGACCAGAGUUACUGCCCUGAUGACAGACGGCUUCGUCAACAACGAGAGGCCCUCCCAGCCGUCACCACCUCAUCAGAUUGCCUGUUGCAGUUGUUGGAGAGAUGUACAGAUGGUAGCAGAACAUGCAGCAUAGUGAAGACUUGACUUCACUGUGAGCAUAACUAUGAAUGGAACAGUCAGCCACAUGUUGGCAAGUAUCCGGUUAGACAAACCUGUCAUCGACAACAGCUUUUACAGGCUCAUCAUUUGUACAAAUACACAAGGUAACACACUUCAUUACUUUGAUACAUUUGAAAACCCAAUAGUGAAACAUAAUGUAAAUAAAUUGGCAUUAUUUGUUUGCUUAUUUUCUACUUCUUAGAUGCAUAUAAUGUCCAGGUCAUAACCUAACCUGGUAGAACCAGCCUGAGCCCUGUGUUCACCAUAUAAUGUCUAGGUCAUAACCUAACCAGGCGGAACCAGCCUGAGCCCUGUGUUCACCAUAUAAUGUCCAGGUCAUAACCUAACCUGGCGGAACCAGCCUGAGCCCUGUGUUCACCAUAUAAUGUCCAGGUCAUAACCUAACCAGGUGGAACCAGCCUGAGCCCUGUGUUCACCAUAUAAUGUCCAGGUCAUAACCUAACCAGGCGGAACCAGCCUGAGCCCUGUGUUCACCAUAUAAUGUCCAGGUCAUAACCUAACCUGGUAGAACCAGCCUGAGCCCUGUGUUCACCAUAUAAUGUUCAGGUCAUAACCUAACCAGGUGGAACCAGCCUGAGCCCUGUGUUCACCAUAUAAUGUCCAGGUCAUAACCUAACCAGGUGGAACCAGCCUGAGCCCUGUGUUCACCAUAUAAUGUCCAGGUCAUAACCUAACCAGGUGGAACCAGCCUGAGCCCUGUGUUCACCAUAUAAUGUCCAGGUCAUAACCUAACCAGGUGGAACCAGCCUCAGCCUGAAAUUAAAUAGAAAGGUGAACACAGAGAUCAGGUUGGUUUCACCAGGCUGAUCAUAACCACCAUUGAUAAUGUAAUCAGUGCUGUGUGGUGUGUGUGUUUGUGUGAGAGACCAACCAGUAUAUUUGAUGGGGGGCCAGGAGCUGAUCUAUGCUGCUAUUCCCAUCAAUGGGGCUCUGGCAAAGACCUCACCUCCAGCCUCACCUCUUGCCUGCUCACCAAUGGUCGUCGAUGACAACAGAAUUUGAUGGACUGGAGAUGGUUAUGCCAGCCGGCAUCCUCAGUCAUUUGAUGGGGAGACCAUAAUAGGAAACAUGUAUGGAGCCAGCACAUGGAGACAGACGGGCUUGAUACUGAUGUCUCUGAAUGGAGAGAGACCUGGCACUCGGUCAAUGUCUCUCUGAGGCUGUACUUCCUCAUGGACACCCAUCACCAUGGCCACUGUCACCAAGGUGAUCCUCAUUGUUGCAGAGGAAGAGGAAGAAAAAAAAGAGAGGAAGACAAGUACCCUGUUCUGGAACCACAAUGAAGUCAUAGUCAUAGAUUAAGGGACAUUUGUGCUUUUUUUAAAACAAUUAUUCAAUUCACUGUUUGUCCUUCUACCAACCAAGAAGCCUUUGUUAAUGACUGAGUCAUACACUGGGCAACAUUGUCAGUCAGAAGAGCAAAAGGUCAUUUUACAAUACAACAAUUAACAAUCCAACAAUUUAAAUACUUUUUAUUAAUAUGGAUUUGCCGUUGGCAAUGUUUUUUUUAAAUGCAUGAUUUACAGCCAGCUAGUCUUUUAGAUACAUCAGUGUGUUGCAGACAACAUACACCUCACACACCUCCUCCACACACACUCUGUAUGACAUACUAAGCAUGGCAGCCUGUCCAACAAAGUAACACACACCUUCCCUUCUCUGCCAUUGCUCAUUGUUCCUGAGUACCACAACAGAACAGAAAAACAAGACAAAUUAAAUGUGCAUCAUGUGGCCAGGUCAGUGAGAAGAACAGGUUAUUAUUAUUACUGAACUGGAGUGAUUCUUUCUGACCAGAGAUACAGAAUUAUGGCCCAAUCAAUCAUCAGUUAGGAGAAAGAUGUUUUGGUCCCCACACAAUGCACACUACCCCAUGAUAGGUUAAUGUGUCUGAUGCAGUUUUCUUGACAGAUCAAGGGCUAGAGUGCAUUGAGAACAAGGACAAAAAAAAAAAACUAUUAUAUUCAAUGCAGGCUUCUAGUGCUAUAUCCUACUUCCUGUUUCUCAUAGCAUCAGGCCUCACGAUUGGCUCAAGCAUACCAUAUAACUGAUGUGAAUGAUGAUAAAAAAUCAUGGUAUAGACCAUUACUUACUGGCCCUUUGAGACUCUUCACUUCAAUACAACAGUGGAUAAACA